rnacentral:rRNA from 1 species
GGAGAACGAGUAAACUGGCGAACGGGUGAGUAAUAUGUAAGUAACCUACCUUUAGGCAUGGGAUAACCCCGAGAAAUCGGGGCUAAUACUAUAUGAUGCAGCGGCACCGCAUGGUGAUGUUGUUAAAGCCUUCGGGCACCUAAAGAUGGGCUUGCCUCUGAUUAGCUAGUUGGUAGGGUAACGGCCUACCAAGGCAACGAUCAGUAGCUGGUCUGAGAGGAUGAUCAGCCACACUGGAACUGGGACACGGUCCAGACUCCUACGGGAGGCAGCAGUGAGGAAUAUUGGUCAAUGGGCGAAAGCCUGAACCAGCAACGCCGCGUGGAGGAUGAAUGCCGUAAGGUUGUAAACUCCUUUUAUAGGGGACGAAAAAUCCCGAUGAUCUCGGGACUUGACUGUACCCUUUGAAUAAGCCCCGGCUAACUACGUGCCAGCAGCCGCGGUAAUACGUAGGGGGCAAACGUUGUCCGGAUUUACUGGGUAUAAAGGGCGCGCAGGCG